CCCAGUUCGAAUUGUAGUCUGCAACCCGACUACAUGAAGCCGGAAUCGCUAGUAAUCGCGGAUCAGAAUGCCGCGGUGAAUACGUUCCCGGGUCUUGUACACACCGCCCGUCACACCAUGGGAGUCGGAAAUGCCCGAAGUCGGUGACCCAACCGCAAGGAGGGAGCCGCCGAAGGCAGGUCCGGUAACUGGGGUGAAGUCGUAACAAGGUACC
rnacentral:rRNA from 1 species